rnacentral:rRNA from 1 species
GUGCAGCAGGCGCGAAUUUUGGGCAAUGGGCGCAAGUCUGACCCAGCGACGCCGCGUGAGGGAUGAAGUCCUUCGGGAUGUAAACCUCUGUUGAGGGGACGAUAAUGACGGUACCCCUCGAGGAAGCCUCGGCUAACUCCGUGCCGAGCAGCCGCGGUAAUACGGAGGAGGCAAGCGUUAGUCCGGAAUCACUGGGCGUAAAGGGUGUGUAGGUGUCCUGAUGGGUCAGGUGUGAAAUCCAACAGCUUAACUGUUGAACUGCAUCUGAAACUAUCGGGAUUGAGGACAGUGAGGGGAGAGUGGAACUCGCGGUGUAGCGGUAGAAU